CCCCACCACUAAGCCAGUGGUGAACUCCACAUACGCAUCCUUUGCUGAGGAUACGGUUAACGGAGCGAAAGCGACGUUCAACCGCAAAAGAAGCAGAGGGGGCUUAGUGGUGGGGUGACUGCGUACCUUUUGUAUAAUGGGUCAGCGACUUAUAUUCUGUAGCAAGGUUAACCGUAUAGGGGAGCCGGAGGGAAACCGAGUCUUAACCGGGCGUUAAGUUGCAGGGUAUAGACCCGAAACCCGGUGAUCUAGCCAUGGGCAGGUUGAAGGUUGGGUAACACUAACUGGAGGACCGAACCGACUAAUGUUGAAAAAUUAGCGGAUGACCUGUGGCUGGGGGUGAAAGGCCAAUCAAACCGGGAGAUAGCUGGUUCUCCCCGAAAGCUAUUUAGGUAGCGCCUCGUGAACUCAUCUCCGGGGGUAGAGCACUGUUUCGGCUAGGGGGCCAUCCCGGCUUACCAACCCGAUGCAAACUGCGAAUACCGGAGAAUGUUAUCACGGGAGACACACGGCGGGUGCUAACGUCCGUCGUGAAGAGGGAAACAACCCAGACCGCCAGCUAAGGUCCCAAAGUCAUGGUUAAGUGGGAAACGAUGUGGGAAGGCCCAGACAGCCAGGAUGUUGGCUUAGAAGCAGCCAUCAUUUAAAGAAAGCGUAAUAGCUCACUGGUCGAGUCGGCCUGCGCGGAAGAUGUAACGGGGCUAAACCAU
rnacentral:rRNA from 1 species